CCAAAGCCCCCGAAGCUGCGGUGACAUCCAGGUGAUGGGUGUGCACGUGCUGGCUCAGACACGACGUCGAGGCUGGCGUGGCCUCCUAGUCGUCCCCCCCGCACAGGGCCAGCAGAGCCUUGCAAUAGUCACCGGAGGUGUCCUUCUCGAUCAUAUGGUACAGAGAUUUGUCAAACAGGUCUAUAAACUCGCCCCGGAUGUUGAGCAGGUCGAUCUCGCUCCGGG
rnacentral:lncRNA from 1 species